rnacentral:rRNA from 1 species
GUGCCAGCAGCCGCGGCGUGAACGUAGGGGCAAGCGUUGUCCGGAAUUACUGGGCGUAAAGGGCGUGUAGGCGGUGCGAUACGUAGCGGUUUUAAGCCUCCGGCUCACCCGGAGAGGGCGGCUAAACGGUCGCACUGGAGGGCAGGAGAGGUGCGUGGAAUUCCUGGUGGAGCGGUGAAAUGGGUAGAGAUCAGGAAGAACACCAGUGGCGAAGGCGGCGCACUGGCCUGACCCUGACGCUGAGGCGCGACAUGUGGGGAGCAAACGGGAUUAGAUACCCCGGUAGUCCACGCCGUAAACGAUGGAUACUAGGUGUCGUGGGGGUCCACCCUGCGGUGCCGGAGCUAACGCACUAAGUAUCCCGCCUGGGGAGUACGGCCGCAAGGUUGAAACUCAAAGGAAUUGACGGGGGCCCGCACAAGCAGUGGAGCAUGUGGUUUAAUUCGACGCAACGCGCAGAACCUUAGCAGGACUGGACAGGCACGUGAGCGCCGCGAAAGCGGCGGGGCUUCGGGGAGCGUGCUCAGGUGCUGCAUGGUUGUCGUCAGCUCGUGUCGUGAGAUGUUGGGUUAAGUCCCGCAACGAGCGCAACCCUUGUCGUGUGUUGCCAGCGGUUCGGCCGGGCACUCACACGAGACUGCCGGUGACAAACCGGAGGAAGGUGGGGAUGACGUCAAAUCCGCAUGGCCUUUAUGUCCUGGGCUACACACGUGCUACAAUGGUCCCGACAACGGGCCCGACGCGCGAGCGGGAGCGAAUCCUUCAAACGGGAUCUCAGUUCGGAUUGCAGGCUGCAACUCGCCUGCAUGAAGCCGGAAUUGCUAGUAAUCGCCCAUCAGCAUGGGGCGGUGAAUUCGUUCCCGGGCCUUGUACACACCUCCCGUCGCACCACGAGAGUUGGCCACACCCGAAGCCGGUCGGCCGA